rnacentral:rRNA from 1 species
CACGGGGGGAGCAAGCGUUGUUCGGAAUCACUGGGCGUAAAGGGCGUGUAGGCGGUCAAGUAAGUGGAAUGUGAAAGCCCCCCGGCUUACCCGGGGAUCUGCAUCCCAAACUGCUUGGCUUGAGUACGGGAGAGGAUAGGGGAAUUCCUGGUGUAGCGGUGAAAUGCGUAGAUAUCAGGAGGAACACCGGUGGCGAAGGCGCCUACCUGGCCUGUUCUUGACGCUGAGGCGCGAAAGCUAGGGGAGCAAACGGG